rnacentral:rRNA from 1 species
AUUGAACGCUGGCGGCAGGCCUAACACAUGCAAGUCGAACGCGUGGCGGACGGGUGAGUAAUGUCUGGGAAACUGCCCGAUGGAGGGGGAUAACUACUGGAAACGGUAGCUAAUAACGCAUACCAUCGGAUGUGCCCAGAUGGGAUUAGCUUGUAGGUGAGUGAACGGCUCACCUAGGCGACGAUCCCUAGCUGGUCUGCGAGGAUGACCAGUGACACUGGAACUGAGACACGUGCCAGACUCCUACGGGAGGCAGCAGUGGGAAAUAUGGCACAAUGGGCGGAAGCCUGAUGCAGCAAUGCCGGGUGUAUGAAGAAGGCCUUCGGGUUGUAAAGUACUUUCAGCGAGGAGGCGUUACCCGCCUAAGAAGCACCGGCUAACUCCGUGCCAGCAGCCGCGGUAAUUC